UAGUAAACAUAAAUUAUUCGUCGUACUUUUGUGUACGGAUGUGUCUGUCCGUCGUUGUCAUCGGAAAUCUGACGUUUAAACAAUUCAAGAUUUAAUCUCCAGAACCCAAAAUAUCUAAAGCAGAAAGUAUAUUGUCACAAUAUAACUUUUUAAUUCUAAGUUCUGCAUCUGUGAGAUCUGUAGUAAUACGAAUUACAUUUCAUUAUAGCAUACACAUUAUUGUGCAAUAUAAAGGGUCUCUGCCAAAAUAGGAGAUUAUACGAUACUUGACAUCCAACGUAAUGUAAUUAGUGGCGGGUACCAAUCUCGAUAAUACUGUUUCUAUAA